ACGCGGCGCGUAAUCGUGAACCUUGUCGGUACGCAUGAAGGUUGAUAUUGGGCUGUAGCCGCGCACGUCAUAUGACGUCUUUGGCAAUCAAAAGGUUAAAAGUAUAGGUAAGAAAUAACAAGCGAUCUUAUAGCUAAAGAGUGAUCUCUUCUAAAUAACUUUUACAGUACAUAUGGUGCUACUUUACCGCACUUGUGCGAAAAUUAGCAUAUUACAUUACUGUGUCGAACAUUUAAAGGGCCAUAUGUACUGUAAAACAUUGUACGAUACAUGUGCGAAUAGGUAAUUCGCAACUCGUGUCGAUUUAAAACACUCCCUUCGGUCGUGUUUUAAUUUAUCGCUACUCGUUCCGAAUUUCCUAUUUUUCGCACUUGUAUCGUAUGUACUUAUUGUAUACUUGAGAAUACGAAAUAGAGAUGUGCAAUAAAAAAAUGGUAACUUAAUAGUUACUAGUUUCACAUUAAAUUACUUCUGUUCCGAUUUUUUUUUUUCAGUUUCAAAGUCUGUUUUAGUGCUAACAAAUGUUCAUAAUUUUAAUUGUUAGAGGCGAUACAAUCCUCAGUGCGAGCGUCAGACUUUUCUGACCUUCGUGUUGCUUAAAUACCAUGAGUCCUAUAUAGACAUUUGAUGUUCAGGAAAAUCAAGAUCGAUUGACAUUAGUUACAAAAACUGUCAAGUAGCCAAUUAUUUUCAAAAGUAUUCAUUUAAUCAAAAAACAUGUUGAUUUUAUUAUUUAAUGUAUGGAAUGCCCUUUUGCCCCGACAAGCUUGAACAUAUAAAUUGUGUAUAAUGAGGUUAUACUCGUAAGUUGAUGAUUAAAAUUUUAAAGGAAAAUUUUAUUUUCUUCUUUUUAGAGCAGUUAAAUAAAAGCUUUUGUAAAAAAUAGUACAUUACGAUACAAGUGCGAAAAAUAGGAAAUUCGAAACGAGUGGUGAUAAAUUAAAACACGACCGAAGGGAGUGUUUUAAAUCGACACGAGUUGCGAAUUAUCUAUUCGCACAUGUAUCGUACAACGUUUUACAGUACAUAUGGACCUUUAAAUGUUUGACACAGUAACGUAAUAUGCUAAUUUGCGCACUAGUGCGGUAAAGUAGCACCAUAUGUACUGUAAAAAAAUUUUUACUCGUAUUUAUCUAUAUGGUAAAUAUACUCACUGCUUUCAGAGGGCGGCGGGCGUGGCACUCUGAAACCGGACGGGCCCGGCGGCGCUGGUGUGUCGUCUGACAAAUAAAUACGACAGAUUAUUAUACACAGUAACAAUUUUAAAAUGACUACUAUCGAACGAAAAAGGAACAUGCGUCAAAAUUAACCCAAAACCAUGAAACAUGGGAGUUGGGCUAUUAAAUAAGUAUUUAAAUCUACUUCAUUUCAUUCUACGGGCGCCAAGCGGAAUUCCAUUGAAGAACUGACCUGUACCCCUAGUGUAAAUAUACUCACUGCUUUCAGAGGGCGGCGGGCGUGGCACUCUAAAACCGGACGGGCCCGGCGGCGCUGGUGUGUCGUCUGACAAAUAAAUACGACAGAUUAUUAUACACAGUAACAAUUUUAAAAUGACUACUAUCGAACGAAAAAGGGACAUGCGUCAAAAUUAACCCAAAACCAUGAAACAUGGGAGUUGGGCUAUUAAAUAAGUAUUUAAAUCUACUUCAUUUCAUUCUACGGGCGCCAAGCGGAAUUCCAUUGAAGAACUGACCUGUACCCCUAGUGUAAAUAUACUCACUGCUUUCAGAGGGCGGCGAGCGUGGCACUCUAAAACCGGACGGGCCCGGCGGCGCUGGUGUGUCGUCUGACAAAUAAAUACGACAGAUUAUUAUACACAGUAACAAUUUUAAAAUGACUACUAUCGAACGAAAAAGGGACAUGCGUCAAAAUUAACCCAAAACCAUGAAACAUGGGAGUUGGGCUAUUAAAUAAGUAUUUAAAUCUACUUCAUUUCAUUCUACGGGCGCCAAGCGGAAUUCCAUUGAAGAACUGACCUGUACCCCUAGUGUAAAUUUGAUCGACAUCAUAACGUGACGAACGCGUUUGCGUUAAGUCUCAUUUUGUAUAGGAUUUUGAGUUUCCAAAACGUCCCGCUUGGCGCGCUCUUUCUAAAUCCAAUACAAAAUGAGACUAAACGCAAACGCGUACGUCACGUUUCGAAAUCGAAUUUAUUUACACUAGGGGUAAAGGAAAGGUACCAAACUGUCUGGUUCCGAUUUGAUUUAUAUUUAUAUAUGUUAUAGAGUAGUCUAAAAUAACGGACACGUAUUUUUUUUUGGUGCCCAAACUCACGUAAUAGACUUUGAACACGAUCCGGAAACACAUUUAUAAAAGAGUGUUCUUCUAGUGAUUUUUAAACUAUUAAUUAUUAUUUUAUUCAUUUGUAUGGCCUGGGUCUGAGGAGGGCAAGGCAAAUUAAUGUCACAAGAAAUGAAAUCAAUACUAAACAAAUUAUUACCUUUGUUUGUUUUCGGACCCGGUUUCCUGACUGCUGGUUUAGCUGGCUUUUUACUUGGAAUAGUUCAAUUAUUAUUAAAUUAUUAUUAAGUCCCCAUGAGAUAUUUUUUUUAUUUAUUUUAUUAUAGGACAUUAUUACACAAAUUGACUAAGUCCCACAGUAAGCUCAAUAAGGCUUGUGUUGAGGGUACUUUGACAACGAUAUAUAUAAUAUAUAAA